CCUGGUUGAUCCUGCCAGUAGUCAUAUGCUUGUCUCAAAGAUUAAGCCAUGCAUGUGUAAGUAUGAACUAUUUCAGACUGUGAAACUGCGAAUGGCUCAUUAAAUCAGUUAUAGUUUGUUUGAUGGUACGUGCUACCGGAUAACCGUAGUAAUUCUAGAGCUAAUCGUGCAACAAACCCCGACUUCGGAAGGGAUGGAUUUAUUAGAUAAAAGGUUGACGUGGGCUUUGCCCGCUGCUCCGAUGAUUCAUGAUAACUCAACGGAUCGCACGGCCCUCGUGCCAGCGACGCAUCAUUCAAAUUUCUGCCCUAUCAACUUUCGAUGGUAGGAUAGGGGCCUACCAUGGUGGUGACGGGUGACGGAGAAUUAGGGUUCGAUUCGGAGAGGGAGCUCGAGAAACGGCUACCACAUCCAAGGAAGGCAGCGGAAGCGCUAAAUUACCCAAUCGAUUACGGGGAGGUAGUGACAAUAAAUAACAAUACCGGGCUCUUGAGUCUGUUAAUUGGAAUGAGUACAAUCUAAAUCCCUUAACGAGGAUCCAUAGGAGGGCAAGUCCGGUGCCGGCUGAACCGCGGUAAUUCCAGCUCCAAUAGCAUAUAUUUAAGUUGUUGCAGUUAAAAAGCUCGUAGUUAGACUUUGGGGCCGGUCGGUCGGUCCGCCUCGCGGUGUGCACCGGUCGUCCCAUCCCUUCUGUCGGCGAUGCGUGCCUGGCCUUAACUGGUCGGGUCGUGCCUCCCGUAUUUGUUAUUUUGAAGAAAUUAGAGUGCUCAAAGCAAGCCCAUGCUCUGGAUACAUUAGCAUGGGAUAACAUCCACAGGAUUCGGUCGUAUUGUGUUGGCCUGCCGGGAUCGGAGUAAUGAUUAAGAGGGACAGUCGGGGGCAUUCGUAUUUCAUAGUCGAGGUGAAAUUCUUGGAUUUAUGAAAGGCGAACCACCAAAAAAAGCAUUUGCCAAGGAUGUUUUCAUUAAUCAAGAAUGAAAGUUGGGGGCUCGAAGAUGAUCGAUACCAUCCUAGUCUCAACCAUAAACGAUGCCGACCGGGGAUCGGCGGAUGUUGCUCUUAGGACUCGCCAAGGCACCUUAUGAGAAAUCAAAGUCUUUGGGUUCCGGGGAGUAUGGUCGCAAUCUUUGAAACUUAAAGGAAUUGAUGGAAGGGCACCACCGUGAGUGGAGCCCUGCGACUUAAUUUGACUCAACACGGGGAAACUUACCAGGUCCGGAUAUAGCAAGGAUUGGAUGACCGACAGCUCUUUCUUGAUUCUAUGGGUGGUGGUGCAUGGCCGUUCUUAGUUGGUGGAGCGAUUUGUCCGGUUAAUUCCGAUAACGAAACGAGACCUCACCGCUAACUAGCUAGGCGGAGGCAUCCCUCCGCUGCCAGCUUCUUAAAGGGACUAUGGCCGUUUAGGCCCGGAAGUUUGAGGCAAUAACAGGUCUGUGAUGCCCUUAGAUGUUUCGGGUCAAGCGCGCAUCUACACCGAUGUAUUCAACGAAGUCUAUAGCCUUGGCCGACAGGCCCGGGUAAUCUUUGAAAAUUUCAUCAUUGAUGGGGAUAGAUCAUUGCAAUUGUUGGUCUUCAACGAGGAAUUCCUAGUAAGCACGAAGUCAUCAUUUCGCGUUGACUACGCCCCCGCCCUUUGUACACACCGCCCGCCGCGCUACCGAUUGAAUGGUCCGGUGAAGUGUUGGAUCGAGGCGACGGGGCGGUUCGCCGCCCAUGACGUCGGGAGAAGUCCACUAAACCUUAUCAUUUAGAGGAAGGAGAAGUCAAAACAAGCUUUCCAGGGUGAACCCGCGGAAG
rnacentral:rRNA from 1 species